GACAGGUGCUGCAUGGCUGUCGUCAGCUCGUGUUGUGAAAUGUUGGGUUAAGUCUCGCAACGAGCGCAACCCCUAUCUUUAGUUGCCAGCAUUAAGUUGGGCACUCUAGAGAGACUGCCCGGGUUAACCGGGAGGAAGGUGGGGAUGACGUCAAGUCCUCAUGGCCCUUAUGCCUAGGGCUACACACGUAAUACAAUGGCGUACACAAAGGGAAGCGAUCGGGUGACCGUUAGCAAAUCUCAAAAAGUGCGUCUCAGUCCGGAUUGUAGUCUGCAACUCGACUACAUGAAGUUGGAAUCGCUAGUA
rnacentral:rRNA from 1 species